rnacentral:rRNA from 1 species
AGAGCGAACGCUGGCGGCAGGCCUAACACAUGCAAGUCGAACGCCCAGCAAUGGGAGUGGCAGACGGGAUAGUAACACGUGGGAACGCGCCCUUCGGUUCGGAAUAACUCAGGGAAACUUGAGCUAAAUACCGGAUACGCCCUUACGGGGAAAGAUUUAUUGCCGAAGGAACGGCCCGCGUCGGAUUAGCUAGUUGGUGAGGUAAUGGCUCACCAAGGCGACGAUCCGUAGCUGGUCUGAGAGGAUGACCAGCAUCACUGGGACUGAGACACGGCCCAGACUCCUACGGGAGGCAGCAGUGGGGAAUAUUGGACAAUGGGCGCAAGCCUGAUCCAGCCAUGCCGCGUGGAUGAUGAAGGCCCUAGGGUUGUAAAGUCCUUUAACGGGGAAGAUAAUGACGGUACCCGUAGAAUAAGCCCCGGCUAACUUCGUGCCAGCAGCCGC